GUGGAUUAGAUACCCGGGUAGUCCACGCCGUAAACGGUGGGCGCUAGGUGUGGGUUUCCUUCCACGGGAUCCGUGCCGUAGCUAACGCAUUAAGCGCCCCGCCUGGGGAGUACGGCCGCAAGGCUAAAACUCAAAGGAAUUGACGGGGGCCCGCACAAGCGGCGGAGCAUGUGGAUUAAUUCGAUGCAACGCGAAGAACCUUACCUGGGUUUGACAUACACCGGACCGCCCCAGAGAUGGGGUUUCCCUUGUGGUCGGUGUACAGGUGGUGCACGGUUGUCGACAACU
rnacentral:rRNA from 1 species